rnacentral:rRNA from 1 species
CACAUGCAAGUCGAACGAUGAUCCGGUGCUUGCACCGGGGAUUAGUGGCGAACGGGUGAGUAACACGUGAGUAACCUGCCCUUGACUCUGGGAUAAGCCUGGGAAACUGGGUCUAAUACCGGAUAUGACUCCUCAUCGCAUGGUGGGGGGUGGAAAGCUUUUGUGGUUUUGGAUGGACUCGCGGCCUAUCAGCUUGUUGGUGAGGUAAUGGCUCACCAAGGCGACGACGGGUAGCCGGCCUGAGAGGGUGACCGGCCACACUGGGACUGAGACACGGCCCAGACUCCUACGGGAGGCAGCAGUGGGGAAUAUUGCACAAUGGGCGAAAGCCUGAUGCAGCGACGCCGCGUGAGGGAUGACGGCCUUCGGGUUGUAAACCUCUUUCAGUAGGGAAGAAGCGAAAGUGACGGUACCUGCAGAAGAAGCGCCGGCUAGCUACG